GACGAACGCUGGCGGCGUGCCUAAUACAUGCAAGUCGAGCGAACGGGCGAGGUGCUUGUUUCUCUGGUGUGAGCGGCGGACGGGUGAGUAACGCGUGGAUAAUCUACCUAUAAGAGGGGGAUAACUUCGGGAAACGGGAGCUAAUACCGGAUAAUAUCUUGAACCACAUGGUUCAAGAGUGAAAGACGGUCUUGCUGUACUUUAUAGAGGUCUCGCCGCUUCUUUGGCUGGUUGUGAGGGUAACGGCUUACCAGGGCAAGGAUCCUUAGCCGACGUGAGGGGGGGAUCGCCCACAUUGGAGCGUGACCCGGCUCCAGACGCCUCCGGGAGGCACCAGAAGGGAACCUUCGGCAAUGGGGGAAAGCCUGCCGGAGCAAGCCGGCGUGAGUGAUAAAGGUCUCGGGUUCGUAAAACCCGGUUAUUGGGGAAAAACAUAUGUGGAAUUAAAUGUGCACCUAGUGACGGUAACUAAUCAGAAAGCCACGGCUAACUACGUG
rnacentral:rRNA from 1 species